rnacentral:rRNA from 1 species
CUGUUAAACUCGAGANUGGUAGAGGUAACUGGAAUUUCUGUGUAGGAGUGAAAUCCGUAGAUAUAAGAAGGAACACCGAUGGCGUAGGCAGGUGACUGGACCAUUUCUGACGCUAAGGCACGAAAGCGUGGGGAGCGAACCGGAUUAGAUACCCGGGUAGUCCCACGCCGUAAACGAUGGAUACUUGCUGUUGGAGGUAUCGACCCCCUUCAGUAGCGAAGCUAACGCGUUAAAGUAUCCCGCCUGUGGAGUACGGCCGCAAGGCUAAAACAUAAAGGAAUUGACGGGGACCCGCACAAGCGGUGGAUCGUGUUCUUUAAUUCGAUGAUAAACGAAGAACCUUACCAGGGCUUGACAUCCNGGGAAGUUGCGAAAGUAACUGUGCCUUUUGAAUCCCUGUGACAGAUGAUGCAUGGCCGUCGUCAGCUCGUGUCGUGAGAUG